rnacentral:rRNA from 1 species
UGGGGAAUAUUGCACAAUGGGCGAAAGCCUGAUGCAGCGACGCCGCGUGGAGGAUGACGGCCUUCGGGUUGUAAACUCCUUUCAGUAGGGACGAAGCGAAAGUGACGGUACCUAUAGAAGAAGCACCGGCCAACUACGUGCCAGCAGCCGCGGUAAUACGUAGGGUGCAAGCGUUGUCCGGAAUUACUGGGCGUAAAGAGCUCGUAGGCGGUUUGUCGCGUCGUCUGUGAAAACCAGCAGCUCAACUGUUGGCUUGCAGGCGAUACGGGCAGACUUGAGUAUUUCAGGGGAGACUGGAAUUCCUGGUGUAGCGGUGAAAUGCGCAGAUAUCAGGAGGAACACCGGUGGCGAAGGCGGGUCUCUGGGAAAUAACUGACGCUGAGGAGCGAAAGCGUGGGUAGCGAACAGG